rnacentral:lncRNA from 1 species
CUCCUGUGCAGAUCAGGGGCUGCAACCCAAUUCUUGCCCCACAGCAGCAAGCAUUACCUCUCUACUCAGACCAAGGCCUUGUGAGGGAUGGAGGGUCACUAAGAUGCACUUCCUGUCCUGAAGACAUUGUCAGUCUCCUGGGGAAGACGGACUUCAAGAGAACAAAGACGAACACUGGAUCCCUACUGGAUUUGGAGGUCUACAGAGAGGGCUGCAUUUUGUCCAGAAUUUGGAAGCUUAUCAGACACAGGGGCCAGGAACAGAAGCCUCCCACAAGCCCAGAAGGACAUACUUAAUGCACAGCACUGAUUGCUACAGGGACCAAGAUGGGGACUUACAGGUGUGGGAAAACUGUAUGCAAAAACAAAACCCAAAAAGGACCUGAAUUUCUGCCCCUGUUAUAGUGUGAUGUAGCAGACAGACCUGGCAUAUUUGACACCCUGAUUACUGCCAACACUCCUCUCUUCCAUAAGACAAAAUUGUCAGUAAUAAUCAUGACAUGAAAUAAAUAUGCAUGAGCUAAAAUCUGAACUUACCUAAUAAAUAUGGUGCACCUCACAGUUCUAA